GUUGUCGCUAAUUGGACAUGCAUAAAAUUGUUGUGCCAAGGUGACAGAAAUAGACUACACAAAUAAUUAUGAUUUGUGGGCGUUAUAGUGGUUUCCAGGCUGCAAUGCCUGUGCGAGACAGGCGGUUUCACGACGAGCUGAUCGGAAUCCUAGUUUGGACUAAUCCCCGUUUGGUUUCCGAUUCCAAUAAAAGUGCUCUAGCUAAGACCAGGUUAAUUUGUCUGUAUAUAAUAAUACACAUUUAAUAAAUGAUUUAGCUUUCAUA